rnacentral:lncRNA from 1 species
AGUCCUAAAACUUAAUUUAGGCUAAUUUACAUAAUUUUUUUUAUAUAAAUACUCUCUUUUUCACAUUCUCUUUCCAACUUUCAAAAACCUACAUUUCACUCCCUCAAUUCUUCAAACUGUUGUAUUUAGCCCCCCUCCUUCAAGUUCUAUCAUUAUUCCGCCAAUUUCUUAUAAUUUCUACUGAAAAUAUCAUUCAAAAAUGAUAAAAAAAUAUUAAAAAUUUAUUCUUUUAUUAUGGAAGUAGUAAGAAUAAUUUGGUCAGUUUUCCCUCUUCAUUAACGUCGUAUUCUUUUGAAAAUAUUUCUGAAAUUUUAAGAUGGCAAACUGUACAAUUUU